UACGUAGGGUGCAAGCGUUGUCCGGAAUUAUUGGGCGUAAAGAGCUCGUAGGCGGUUCGGCAAGUCGAAUGUGAAAUCUCCACGCUCAACGUGGAGGGGUCAUUCGAUACUGCCGUGACUUGAGUACGGUAGGGGAGUGUGGAAUUCCCGGUGUAGCGGUGAAAUGCGCAGAGAUCGGGAGGAACACCCGUAGCGAAGGCGGCACUCUGGGCCGAUACUGACGCUGAGGAGCGAAAGCGUGGGGAGCGAACAGG
rnacentral:rRNA from 1 species